UGCGGUGUAGCUCAGCCAGGUAGAGCGCCAGGUUCAUACCCUGGAAGUCGUCGGAUCGAAGCCGACUGCCGCAUCCA
rnacentral:tRNA from 1 species